GAAAUGCGAUAAGUAAUGUGAAUUGCAGAAUUCCGUGAAUCAUCGAAUCUUUGAACGCACAUUGCGCCCUCUGGUAUUCCGGGGGGCAUGCCUGUCCGAGCGUCAUUGCACACCCUCAAGCGCGGCUUGUGUGUUGGGCCCCCGCGUCCUUGCCAUUUAAAGGACGGGCCCGAAAGGCAGUGGCGGCUUCGCGGUUAUCCGAUCAGCCAGAGCGUAUGGGGACUUUCUCUCUGUCACACGCCCGCGGCGCGGACCGACGCCUGUCGACCUUUAUUCAUCUUUUUCUCGGUUGACCUCGGAUCAGGUAGGGAUACCCGCUGAACUUAAGC
rnacentral:misc_RNA from 1 species